rnacentral:lncRNA from 1 species
GAAACAAUUUUGAGUUGAUCUUAGGGGACCAUCGACCCCCACAUUAUCUCAGCAAAACCAUGAUCCAAUCCUUGAACUCGAACUGAGUCGUACUGAUAACUAUAAUUGUCCGUGACUCCGUGUCUCUCACUUUGAUCUGAAACUGACAUGAAAACUUGAGUUACGAUAACGCAAAGUGCAUAUUCUUCGACACACUUUUUGACACUAACAAUGGAUUCUCCUCCUCCUCCUACGCCACCACCACUACAACAGCUACCGUUUCAAGUUCUGCCCAGAAGAAGUGAGCUCUCUUCACAGAAC